AGACUGCGUUUGAAACUGUAUAUCUUGAGAGCAGCAGAGGAAGGCGGAAUUCCUGGUGUAGUGGUGAAAUACGUAGAUAUCAGGAAGAACACCAGUGGCGAAGGCGGUCUUCUGGGCUGCAUCUGACGCUCAUGUACGAAAGCUGGGGUAGCGAACGGGAUUAGAUACCCCGGUAGUCCCAGCUGUAAACGAUGGUCACUAGGUGUUGGAGGUUCGAAUCCUUCAGUGCCGGAGUUAACGCAUUAAGUGACCCGCCUGGGGAAUACGGUCGCAAGACUGAAACUCAAAGGAAUUGACGGGGGCCCGCACAAGCGGUGGAGCAUGUGGUUUAAUUCGAUGCAACGCGAAGAACCUUACCGAGAAAUGACAUCCCGUGACUACUUGUGAAAGCAAG
rnacentral:rRNA from 1 species